rnacentral:rRNA from 1 species
GACGAACGCUGGCGGCGUGCCUAAUACAUGCAAGUCGAGCGAGCGGAACUAACAGAUUUACUUCGGUAAUGACGUUAGGAAAGCGAGCGGCGGAUGGGUGAGUAACACGUGGGGAACCUGCCCCAUAGUCUGGGAUACCACUUGGAAACAGGUGCUAAUACCGGAUAAGAAAGCAGAUCGCAUGAUCAGCUUUUAAAAGGCGGCGUAAGCUGUCGCUAUGGGAUGGCCCCGCGGUGCAUUAGCUAGUUGGUAAGGUAAAGGCUUACCAAGGCGAUGAUGCAUAGCCGAGUUAAGAGACUGAUCGGCCACAUUGGGACUGAGACACGGCCCAAACUCCUACGGGAGGCAGCAGUAGGGAAUCUUCCACAAUGGACGCAAGUCUGAUGGAGCAACGCCGCGUGAGUGAAGAAGGUUUUCGGAUCGUAAAGCUCUGUUGUUGGUGAAGAAGGAUAGAGGUAGUAACUGGCCUUUAUUUGACGGUAAUCAACCAGAAAGUCACGGCUAGCUACGUG